rnacentral:rRNA from 1 species
GGAUGAACGCUAGCGACAGGCCUAACACAUGCAAGUCGAGGGGUAACAUGAGAGUAGCAAUACRAUUGAUGACGACCGGCGCACGGGUGAGUAACACGUAUGCAAUCUGCCUUCUACACCGGGAUAGCCCGUCGAAAGACGGAUUAAUACCAGAUAAUACAGGGAUACCGCAUGGUAAUAUUUGUUAAAGAUUUAUCGGUAGAAGAUGAGCAUGCGUUCCAUUAGCCAGUUGGUGAGGUAACGGCUCACCAAAGCAACGAUGGAUAGGGGAACUGAGAGGUUUAUCCCCCACACUGGUACUGAGACACGGACCAGACUCCUACGGGAGGCAGCAGUGAGGAAUAUUGGUCAAUGGACGCAAGUCUGAACCAGCCAAGUCGCGUGAAGGAUGACUGCCCUACGGGUUGUAAACUUCUUUUGUACUAGAGUAAAACAUAGGACGUGUCCUAUCUUGCAAGUAUAGUACGAAUAAGCAUCGGCUAACUCCGU